CUCCUGGUGCAAGAAUUGCAGCUUACAAGGUUUGCUGGACUGGUGGGUGCUUCAGCUCGGAUAUUCUGUCGGCGGUUGAUAGAGCGGUGGGUGAUGGAGUGAAUGUGUUGUCGAUAUCUUUGGGUGGUGGAGCUUCAUCUUACUCUCACGACAGUUUGGCGAUAGCAACUUUUGGAGCAAUGGAGAUGGGUGUUUUUGUCUCUUGCUCAGCUGGCAAUGGAGGACCAGAUCCUGUCAGCCUCACUAAUGUAUCACCAUGGAUCACUACAGUCGGUGCUAGCACCAUGGAUAGAGAUUUUCCAGGUAGUGUUA
rnacentral:lncRNA from 1 species